CUACAUGCAAGUCGAGCGCAGGAAACUUGACGGAACUCUUCGGAGGGAAGGCAGCGGAAUGAGCGGCGGACGGGUGAGUAACACGUAAGGAACCUGCCUCAAGGAUUGGGAUAACUCCGAGAAAUCGGAGCUAAUACCGGAUAGUUCAUCGGACCGCAUGGUCCGUUGAUGAAAGGCGCUCCGGCGUCACCUUGAGAUGGCCUUGCGGUGCAUUAGCUAGUUGGUGGGGUAACGGCCCACCAAGGCGACGAUGCAUANCCGACCUGAGAGGGUGAUCGGCCACACUGGGACUGAGACACGGCCCANACUCCUACGGGAGGCAGCAGUANGGAAUCUUCCACAAUGGACGAAAGUCUGAUGGAGCAACGCCGCGUGAGUGAUGAAGGUUUUCGGAUCGUAAAACUCU
rnacentral:rRNA from 1 species